UAGCGAGCUAGCUAGCCACCUAGCAUGUAAGUGUUUACUUACUGCUGUGGGACCAGCGGACCAGCAGCAGGAUCAGGACUGCUGCUGCUGAUGGAAGGGACUUUGUCGGGGUCAGCCGCAUUGUUGAACUGCGGAGUGUGAGCCAAGCUUCUGAAACUUUCUCCCGUACACCCCUCUCUGUCUCUCAGCCGCCCCCCUUAAGUCCUUCAAUGUCACUGCUGUCUGCACCGAGUCGUGGCUAACCUCGCACCGAGUCACUGCAGGUAUUUCUCAGGGUUCUGCAUGGUGCUGUUGAGGCGCUCCAGUGCCUUCUGCAGGGCCUCAGUCUUAAUGUAGGUGAUGGAGGACGAGUUGGCAGAGAUCUGGAUUUCUGUAGGAGUAACGUUCAGCUGCACCAUCAGCCGAUCGGGGUAACACAGCAUGAGCGAGUCCAGCUUCGCCACAGAGACACCGUCCAGAAAGACUUGCAGCAAUCGACAGAGGGACGGUGUUGUUUUGGACGAGAGCGAAGAGAAUGCCUGUGCUGCUGGAUGGACCUCUCCUCUGUUAACCAACUGGGGCCUUGCUUUUUGGAAUUCCAUGUUCCUUCUGUCCACGUGUUUCCUCCAGAUGCUUCACUUUCCUCCCACCCUAAAACACAUGCAUGUCUGCUAACAGUCCUGCUGCUGCUGCUCAAAGCCAUGCACAAAGCUGCUAUGGCUGCUCAUUGUUCAUAAAGUUAAGUAAGGAUCAAAUGCAGAGCCCGUUUUCCCAUAUAUGUAUGUAUGAAGUGUAACUUACUCACUGUAGUCAAUGUCGAAGUGUGCCAGUCCUGCCCCGGAGAAGAAAGAGCCUUGCUCCACAUACACAAAGCAAUGUUUACUCCUCUUCUCCUGGAUGACCUCCUUUACCCCGGACGCCCCCUGGUUCAUUAAGUUCCAGCCCCGGAUGCAACCAUCGAGGCGGGGAUUGAUCUUAUGGAUGAAUAGAGACACAACACAGGAUUUGAGCUGGGCCAAUGUUAAACCCUAUGUGUUGUUAGUUAUUACAUGUGUUCAGAGAGGAAUUGUAUCUGUGUGUGCAUGCUCACAGGUUUGAUGACGUUGUUGGUGCGGUUUGGCAGACCAGCAAUGUACACCUUGGUUUCUAGUUUGCCGUUCACUGAAGUAAAAAGACUGUCAGGGCUAUUGAUGCUCAUCACAGCUUCCUUACUGAUCUUCACACUGAUGCUGUUCUCCAGUUCAUCCACAGAGAUCUGCACGUUACACAUACAGCAACCAAUUUAGCAUCAGAAGACACGGUGACAGCAACAAAAAUAUGUCCGUUACUUAAGUUUGAUUAUCACUGAUGCUACUUCUUUCUCACCACAUGCCACUGCCCGUCAUUGAUGAGUUUUCCUCCACUGGUGACCUUGAAUGUGUGCUGGUUUUUGAACUGGACCUCGAUGCGACCUCCUCUCAGCCCCAGCAUGAACCAUGAGUCCUGGGACGACUCAGCGUACAGCACAACUCCUUCUGGAUCAAACGUGCGGAAGUCAAACUCUGCUGCAAACCUGAGGACCAGAAACAGAAAUACAAAUGUACGGAAGCGCAGAAAGAUGACCGGAAGUCCAGCAAAUUGCUCCCCCAGGUAGAGCAUCUCAGGGUGUUUGUAGUCGUACAGCUCCACACAGACCGG